CCAACGGCCCUCUUUAGGGCCACAAAUUUGUGAAUCAUGCUGGCU
rfam:Camelus ferus unplaced genomic scaffold scaffold59402, whole genome shotgun sequence.